rnacentral:rRNA from 1 species
GGGUGAGUAACACGUGGGUAAUCUGCCUCCGGGUGGGGAAUAACUCAGGGAAACUUGAGCUAAUUCCGCAUAACGUCGGUCUGCGACCAAAGCUGGGGGCGCUUGGAGAGGAGCCCGCGGCCAAUUAGCUAGUUGGUGAGGUAAUGGCCCACCAAGACAUCGAUUGGUAACCGGCCUGAGAGGGCGGACGGUCACACUGGAACUGAGACACGGUCCAGACUCCUACGGGAGGCAGCAGUGAGGAAUUUUCGUCAAUGGGGGAAACCCUGAACGAGCAACGCCGCGUGGAGGACGAAGACCUUCGGGUUGUAAACUCCUGUCGGACGGGACGAAAGCGGUACCGUAAGAGGAAGCCCCGGCUAACUUCGUGCCAGCAGCCGCGGUAAUACGAGGGGGGCAAGCGUUGUUCGGAAUUACUGGGCGUAAAGGGCGCGUAGGCGGUCUGCCAAGUCUCCCGUGAAAGCCCACGGCUCAACCGUGGAA